CCUGUUGCAUACAGGCUGGGAUGUGAACUCCGCUCGGAGUUUGAACCGUACA
rnacentral:ncRNA from 1 species